CUCUCUUUCUCUCUGAAUUUGUUUAAAGUUGUAUGUAUAUGCCCUGAAUAACAAUAAUCAUGAAUCUUGUUUGGGUAGUUCUUGCUCCUGCAUAAUCUUGUUGAUUGGGUUCCAAUUUUGCCUGUCUAUGAUUUAAUUAUUUUCUGUCCUGCUAUUUGUGUGAUAGAGUUGAAAUUUCUUCUCAAGCUGGUUAUUUAUGUACUCAAUAUAUGUGUUUUCUACAAAUCUGGGAAUUGGGUUUUAUGUUUAUGCACUGUUCUUUUAGUGAUUGUCUAUUUUCUUAACUUCCUUUUUCCUCUUGGGACCAUAUGGGGUUCUUCUGUCAGAUUAUUUUCUCCCUGUUUUUGCUCUUUUCUUGAGGGUCUAAUUUGGAAAGUUUUUACGUCAUAGACUUGAACAACUGCAUCAAUUUGAGGCAUCAUUUAACAUUGUAUAUUGAAC
rnacentral:lncRNA from 1 species